UACAGAGGGUGCGAGCGUUAAUCGGAAUUACUGGGCGUAAAGCGUGCGUAGACGGUUAUCUAAGUCGGAUGUGAAAGCCCCGGGCUCAACCUGGGAAUUGCAUUCGAGACUGAAUAGCUAGGGUACGGUAGAGGGAAGUGGAAUUUCCGGUGUAGCGGUGAAAUGCGCAGAUAUCAGGAGGAACACCGGUGGCGAAGGCGGAUCUCUGGGCCGUACCUGACGCUCAGGCGCGAAAGCUAGGGGAGCGAACUGG
rnacentral:rRNA from 1 species